rnacentral:rRNA from 1 species
AAAUGAAUAGACGGGGGCCCGCACAAGCGGUGGAGCAUGUGGUUUAAUUCGAAGCAACGCGAAGAACCUUACCAGGGCUUGACAUCUACCGGGAGACUUAUGGAAACGUAGGUUGUUCUUCGGAACUGGUAGACAGGUGGUGCAUGGUUGUCGUCAGCUCGUGUCGUGAGAUGUUGGGUUAAGUCCCGCAACGAGCGCAACCCUUAUUCUUAGUUGCCAGCACGUUGAGGUGGGUACUCUAAGAAGACUGUCGGUGACAAACCGGAGGAAGGUGGGGAUGACGUCAAAUCAUCAUGCCCUUUAUGUUCUGGGCUACACACGUGCUACAAUGGCCUGCACAGCGGGUUUUUGCGAUGUCGCGAGGCGGAGCCAAUCCCUCAAAGCAGGUCUCAGUUCGGAUUGCAGGCUGCAACUCGCCUGCAUGAAGUCGGAAUCGCUAGUAAUCGCGGAUCAGCAUGUCGCGGUGAAUACGUUCCCGGGCCUUGUACACACCGCCCGU